AAAAAUGCAACAUCUAUGGAUUCUCGUACCUAUCGCAUUGGGUGUAUGUUUAGGCGUGGUAUCUGUAACAGCAGAUAACCAGUGCCACCAACAGAAUAUGGAUGUAGCGAUUUUUGGUGACAUAUCAAAGAGUAUGAAGAAGCAACAACGAAGAAAGCUGGUGAACUUUAUUGAAGAGUUACCGACUCAACUCUCGUUUCUGCUGAUGGAAGUCAUGUUGCUCUUGGCACUUUGCAAAUACUGCUGAUAUUCAUAACAAGCUUAACAAUAAAGAAUACUACGAUGCAGGCAAAUUGAGGAAGGCUGUAAAAGAAAUCUUCAUGGUUAGGCCAAAGAAAUUUGGAACUCGUACAGAUCUUGCUUUGGACCUGGCUGCCAGAGAAGUGUUUACAGCAGCUGGAGGGGACAUACCCAAAGCCAAGAACGUCUUAAUUAUCGUAACUGAUGGAAAAC